GACGAACGCUGGCGGCGUGCUUAACACAUGCAAGUCGAACGGGCCCGCCCCUGUUUUUGGGGGUGGGUUGAGUGGCGAACGGGUGAGUAUCACGUGAGUAACCUGCCCCCUGCUCCUGGAUAACUGCUUGAAAGGGCGGCUAAUACGGGGUGUGCCGGCUGGUCCGCAUGGGCCUGGUCGGGAUAGUUUCAUCUUCGGGUGUUUCGGUGGGGGAUGGGCUCGCGGCCUAUCAGCUUGUUGGUGGGGUGAUGGCCCACCAAGGCGGUGACGGGUAGCCGGCCUGAGAGGGUGGGCGGCCACACUGGGACUGAGACACGGCCCAGACUCCUGCGGGAGGCAGCAGUGGGGGGUAUUGCACAAUGGGCGGAAGCCUGAUGCAGCGACGUCGCGUGAGGGAUGGAGGCCUUCGGGUUGUGAACCUCUUUCUCCGGGGGUGAAGGCCCUGUCCGUUGCGGCGGGGUUGACGGUAGCCGGGUAUGAAGCGCCGGCUAACUACGUG
rnacentral:rRNA from 1 species